rnacentral:rRNA from 1 species
UACAGAGACUGCAAGCGUUAUUCGGAUUCACUGGGCGUAAAGGGUGCGCAGGCGGCCAAGUGUGUGAGGCGUGAAAGCCCGGGGCUUAACCCCGGAAUUGCACCUCAAACUACAUGGCUAGAGCAUUGGAGAGGGUAGCAGAAUUCAUGGUGUAGCAGUGAAAUGCGUAGAUAUCAUGAGGAAUACCAGAGGCGAAGGCGGCUACCUGGACAAUUGCUGACGCUCAGGCGCGAAAGCGUGGGGAGCAAAAGGG